rnacentral:snRNA from 1 species
GGAUGUGAGGGCGAUCUGGCUGCGACAUCUGUCACCCCAUUGAUCUCCAGGGUUGAUUCGGCUGAUCUGGCUAGCUAGGCGGGUGUCCCCCUCCUCCCUCACCGAUCCAUGUGCGUCCCUCUGGAAGCUGCGCGCUCGGUCGAAGAGGACGACCUUCCCCCCCAGGAGAGGACCGGUCUUCGGUCAAGGGUAUACGAGUAGCUGCGCUCCCCUGCUAGAACCUCCAAACAAGCUAACCAAAGUGUAAAGCCACUGCUUACCACUGCUUGACAGCCAUGCAUGUGUGUGUGGCAGGGCCA